rnacentral:rRNA from 1 species
GCAUGGUCUUAGCUUGCUAAGGCCGAUGGCGACCGGCGCACGGGUGAGUAACACGUAUCCAACCUGCCGUCUACUCUUGGACAGCCUUCUGAAAGGAAGAUUAAUACAAGAUGGCAUCAUGAGUCCGCAUGUUCACAUGAUUAAAGGUAUUCCGGUAGACGAUGGGGAUGCGUUCCAUUAGAUAGUAGGCGGGGUAACGGCCCACCUAGUCUUCGAUGGAUAGGGGUUCUGAGAGGAAGGUCCCCCACAUUGGAACUGAGACACGGUCCAAACUCCUACGGGAGGCAGCAGUGAGGAAUAUUGGUCAAUGGGCGAGAGCCUGAACCAGCCAAGUAGCGUGAAGGAUGACUGCCCUAUGGGUUGUAAACUUCUUUUAUAAAGGAAUAAAGUCGGGUAUGGAUACCCGUUUGCAUGUACUUUAUGAAUAAGGAUCGGCUAACUCCGUGCCAGCAGCCGCGGUAAUACGGAGGAUCCGAGCGUUAUCCGGAUUUAUUGGGUUUAAAGGGAGCGUAGAUGGAUGUUUAAGUCAGUUGUGAAAGUUUGCGGCUCAACCGUAAAAUUGCAGUUGAUACUGGAUAUCUUGAGUGCAGUUGAGGCAGGCGGAAUUCGUGGUGUAGCGGUGAAAUGCUUAGAUAUCACGAAGAACUCCGAUUGCGAAGGCAGCCUGCUAAGCUGCAACUGACAUUGAGGCUCGAAAGUGUGGGUAUCAAACAGGAUUAGAUACCCUGGUAGUCCACACGGUAAACGAUGAAUACUCGCUGUUUGCGAUAUACUGCAAGCGGCCAAGCGAAAGCGUUAAGUAUUCCACCUGGGGAGUACGCCGGCAACGGUGAAACUCAAAGGAAUUGACGGGGGCCCGCACAAGCGGAGGAACAUGUGGUUUAAUUCGAUGAUACGCGAGGAACCUUACCCGGGCUUAAAUUGCAGAUGAAUUACGGUGAAAGCCGUAAGCCGCAAGGCAUCUGUGAAGGUGCUGCAUGGUUGUCGUCAGCUCGUGCCGUGAGGUGUCGGCUUAAGUGCCAUAACGAGCGCAACCCUUGUUGUCAGUUACUAACAGGUUCCGCUGAGGACUCUGACAAGACUGCCAUCGUAAGAUGUGAGGAAGGUGGGGAUGACGUCAAAUCAGCACGGCCCUUACGUCCGGGGCUACACACGUGUUACAAUGGGGGGUACAGAGGGCCGCUACCACGCGAGUGGAUGCCAAUCCCCAAAACCUCUCUCAGUUCGGACUGGAGUCUGCAACCCGACUCCACGAAGCUGGAUUCGCUAGUAAUCGCGCAUCAGCCACGGCGCGGUGAAUACGUUCCCGGGCCUUGUACACACCGCCCGUCAAGCCAUGGGAGCCGGGGGUACCUGAAGUGCGUAACCGCGAGGAGCGCCCUAGGGUAA